CUUAGGAUCAGCGCGAUCAAUCCUCUCGACGACUUCGGGCAGAAUGCAGCCGUCGAUCAACCGCUUGAUCAAGUCCCUGUCAUUGAAGGGAUUCUCUGGCUCUUCUUCAGAACCGUGGGAUCUUCGAUGGUGACCCGACGGCCACUUAUCCUGCGGGCCACCGACUUCCUUCUCCUCCCCCUCUCGACCCCGGGCGCCUCUGCGGGAUGGACCCCCGGAAUGGGAACCUCAGUGGGGGGAC
rnacentral:lncRNA from 1 species